rnacentral:rRNA from 1 species
UACGGGGGGUGCAAGCGUUGUUCGGAAUUACUGGGCGUAAAGGGCUCGUAGGCGGCCAACUAAGUCAGACGUGAAAUCCCUCGGCUUAACCGGGGAACUGCGUCUGAUACUGGAUGGCUUGAGUUUGGGAGAGGGACGCGGAAUUCCAGGUGUAGCGGUGAAAUGCGUAGAUAUCUGGAGGAACACCGGUGGCGAAGGCGGCGUCCUGGACCAACACUGACACUGAGGAGCGAAAGCCAGGGGAGCAAACGGG